GGCCCGUUGGUCAAGCGGUUAAGACACCGCCCUUUCACGGCGGUAACAGGGGUUCGAAUCCCCUACGGGUCACCA
rnacentral:tRNA from 3 species